GUCUUGACAUACUAUGCAAAUCUAAGAGAUUAGACGUUCCCUUCGGGGACAUGGAUACAGGUGGUGCAUGGUUGUCGUCAGCUCGUGUCGUGAGAUGUUGGGUUAAGUCCCGCAACGAGCGCAACCCUUAUUAUCAGUUGCCAGCAUUAAGUUGGGCACUCUGGUGAGACUGCCGGUGACAAACCGGAGGAAGGUGGGGAUGACGUCAAAUCAUCAUGCCCCUUAUGACCUGGGCUACACACGUGCUACAAUGGAUGGUACAACGAGUUGCGAACUCGCGAGAGUAAGCUAAUCUCUUAAAGCCAUUCUCAGUUCGGAUUGUAGGC
rnacentral:rRNA from 1 species